rnacentral:rRNA from 1 species
UACGAGGGGGGCAAGCGUUGUUCGGAUUUAUUGGGUUUAAAGGGUGCGUAGGCGGCCUUGUAAGUCAGGGGUGAAAGACGGUAGCUUAACUAUCGCAGUGCCUUUGAUACUGCAGGGCUUGAAUGUACUUGAGGUAGGCGGAAUGUGACAAGUAGCGGUGAAAUGCAUAGAUAUGUCACAGAACACCAAUUGCGAAGGCAGCUUACUAAAGUAUGAUUGACGCUGAGGCACGAAAGCGUGGGGAUCAAACAGG